AUGAAUUUAGUAGAUCCUUUUAGGAGGCCCUCAAUUACCAUAGAUCGAACCUAUCCUAUUUUUACAGUGCGAUGGCUGACUAUAGGACUAGCUGUACCUACUUUUUUUCUUGGGAGGGGACACUGCCACCAUGGCUGCUAG
rnacentral:rRNA from 1 species